rnacentral:rRNA from 1 species
ACGAACGCUGGCGGCGUGCCUAAUACAUGCAAGUAGAACGCACAGUUUAUACCGUAGCUUGCUACACCAUAAACUGUGAGUUGCGAACGGGUGAGUAACGCGUAGGUAACCUGCCUGGUAGCGGGGGAUAACUAUUGGAAACGAUAGCUAAUACCGCAUAAUAUUGAUUAUUGCAUGAUAAUUGAUUGAAAGAUGCUAUUGCAUCACUACCAGAUGGACCUGCGUUGUAUUAGCUAGUAGGUGAGGUAACGGCUCACCUAGGCGACGAUACAUAGCCGACCUGAGAGGGUGAUCGGCCACACUGGGACUGAGACACGGCCCAGACUCCUACGGGAGGCAGCAGUAGGGAAUCUUCGGCAAUGGACGAAAGUCUGAACGAGCAACGCCGCGUGAGUGAAGAAGGUUUUCGGAUCGUAAAGCUCUGUUGUAAGAGAAGAACGGGUGUGAGAGUGGAAAGUUCACACUGUGACGGUAUCUUACCAGAAAGGGACGGCUAACUACGUG